UACGGAGGGUGCAAGCGUUAAUCGGAAUUACUGGGCGUAAAGCGCGCGUAGGCGGCUGUCUAAGUCGGGUGUGAAAGCCCCGGGCUCAACCUGGGAACUGCAUCCGAUACUGGUCAGCUAGAGUAUGGGAGAGGGAGGUAGAAUUCCACGUGUAGCGGUGAAAUGCGUAGAUAUGUGGAGGAAUACCGGUGGCGAAGGCGGCCUCCUGGCCCAAUACUGACGCUGAGGUGCGAAAGCGUGGGGAUCAAACAGG
rnacentral:rRNA from 1 species